CAUGUAUUCAGUUCUACCAAUUUUACUACACUCUAACCUGGGAAUUCCAUUUCUUGAGACUGUCUAAAGAAUCCAUCCUGGGCGUGAGGAGUGGCAGUGGCCAGGCAGCCCAGUUUCGCAAAGGCUGUCAGCACGCCGCGGCCCGCAGACACCCGGCACGCGCCCUCCCUGCCGCCAGGAUGCCCAAGGGGAAGGUCAGCUCUGCUGAAGGAGCCGCCAAGGAAAAGCCCAAAAGGAGAUCGGUGCGGUUGUCAGUUAAACCUCCUGCAAAAGUGGAAGCGAAGCUGAAAAACGCAGCAGUGAAGGAUAAAUCUUCAGACAAAAAAGUGCAAACAAAAGGGAAAAAGGGAGCAAAGGGAAAACAGGCCGAAGUGGCUAACCAAGAAACUAAAGAAGAUUUACCUGCAGAAAACGGGGAAAUGAAAACUGAGGAGAGUCCAGCCUCUGAUGAAGCAGGAGAGAAAGAAGCCAAGUCUGAUUAAUACCAUAUACCAUGUCUUAUCAGUGGUCCCUGUCUCCCUUCUUGUACAAUCCAGAGGAAUAUUUUUAUCAACUAUUUUGUAAAUGCAAGCUUUUUAGUAGCUCUAGAAACAUUUUUAAGAAGGAGGAAUCCCACCUCAUCCCAUUUUUUAAGUGUAAAUGCUUUUUUUUAAGAGGUGAAAUCAUUUGCUGAUUGUUUAUUUUUUGGUACAACCAGAAAAUAGUGUGGGAUAUUGAAUUAUGGGAGGCUUUGACUGUCUCGGGUGUCAGCUUAACAUUCCAUAGAUGGGGGGUUAGUUUUUAUAUCCUAUAAUACAAAGCAUAUUAAAUGGCAAUAUGGAGUCAGUCCUGCAUUUAAUAUCUUGAACAUUUUGAAUUACUUCUGUUCCCAUGUUGUUUUUUAGUAGAAUUGUUUCCUAAAGAAAACCACUCUUUGAUCAUGGCUCUCCCUGUCAGAAUUGUGCACUCUGUAACAUCUUUGGUUGUGGUAGUCCUGUUUUCCUAAUAACUUUGUUACUGUGCUGUGAAAGAUUACAAAUUUGAAUAUGUAGUGUACGUGCUAUUCAGUUGUGAACUGGUGGGCCGUAUGUAACAGCUGACCAACAUGUGAAAAUACUGGUACUUGAUAGCCUCUUAAGGAAAAUUUGCUUCCCGAUUUUAAGCUGGAAAGUCACUGGAAUAACUUUAAAAAAGAAUUACACUAUAUGGCUUUUUAGAAUUUCAUUACGUAUGUUAAGAAUUGUGUACAAAUUGAAACGUCUGUAGUGAUCUUCAACCAAUAAAAUCUCAAUUAUUAAAGUACAAAAAAAAAAAAAAUCCAUCCUGAACAUGGAGACAUCCAUACACUAGGGCAAGCUGAGGGCCCAGCAACCCACAGUAGGGCAGUGAAGGGUUAGGGGAGUGGACGUGCAGCCUUUCUGCAGACGUCUACAUGAGAAGACUAUGGAGCCAGGGCAGAAAUUCCAAUAAUGUGCCGCCAAUUUUUUUUUUUUUUUUUUUGAAACGGAGUCUCGCUCUGUUACCAGGCUGGAGUGCAGUGGCAUGAUCUUGGCUCACUGCAACUUCCGACUCCCUGGUUCAAGCGAUUCUCCUGCCUCAGCCUCCCAAGUAGCUGGGAUUACAGGCAUGCGCCACCACGCCCAGCUAAUUUUUGUAUUUUUAGUAGACAUGGGGUUUCACCAUGUUGGCCAGGUUGGUCUCGAUCUCCUGAUGACCUCGUGAUCUGCCCACCUCGGCCUCCCAAAGUGCUGGGAUUACAGGUGUGAGCCACCGUGCCCGGCCCAUGUGCUGCUAAAUAUUUUAAAAGCAGGAAACAUAAUUUAUAUAUGCCCAAAGAAUAGCCACAUAAGGAAAGACUGAAUAGGAGUGGAUAAGUAGGCUUACCUGUAAUUUUUUCCCUAAGCUUUAUAUAUUACCAUUCUGUUUUAAAGAAGAAAGAGUAGGGGGAAGGAAAGAAAUGCCACCUGGGGACACAACCUUGGCUCCCAGCCCAGCCUUAUUUAUUGAGAUGGGCUGAGCAUCCCAGCAGCAGAGGGUUGGGUAUGUGAGUGAGGGAGGCUGGGCCAGCCCCCAUCCUGUGCCUGUCAACUUCACAAGGCAGCUGGUGAGUGUUGUCUAACAAUGGCCCUGGGAGGUCAUUUCUUGUUCCUGCUUUCCUCCUGUGGAAACAAAUUUAAGAAACGCAAGACCUGCUCGUGCCCUGUAGAUAGAGGGCAGCGUGUCUGAGGGUCAGAGAAGGCGCUAGCCACUGUCGGGUUCUGUGCAGAGUGCACUGGACACACUGACCGAGGGAAGGGGCCCCUGCAGGGCUGCCGGCAGCCAGUGACGGUAACUGGGGAUAUUCUAAAGGCAGGGUACUCCUGAGGUGCUUGGGUUGUUUUUUUCCUGGUUAUACCAGAGGGUGUGGAUGGCUGUGUUUCCCGCUGUGUGUAUAACGUCAUGCCCUAUGCAUUCCCACAGACUCCUGCAUAGCCUUCCUACGUAGACACUUUCAUGGCCUUGGAAGUGCUCUGAGGAGAGUGCUUUUCCCCGUUGCGCCCGUUGGUGGAUGUUCUAGUUGCACAUCUGCUUUUGCACCCUGCAGAUCCCUGCACAGUGGGCACCUCCUUGAAAAGCACCCCCAGAAGUGGAGCUCCUGGGGCUCUGAGGGGUGGGCGGUUGGGACCAAGGAGAUGCUUCUCACUCCUGCUGAGCCAUGUGGGCCUCUCUCAACCCAGGCAAAGAGGCCAUGCUGCGACAGAAGGACUAUGAGACCGCCACCCUCUCUGAGAUCAAGGCCCUGCUCAAGAAGCAUGAGGCCUUCGAGAGUGACCUGGCUGCCCACCAGGACCGUGUGGAGCAGAUUGCCGCCAUCGCACAGGAGCUCAAUGAGCUGGACUAUUAUGACUCACCCAGUGUCAACGCCCGUUGCCAAAAGAUCUGUGACCAGUGGGACAAUCUGGGGGCCCUAACUCAGAAGCGAAGGGAAGCUCUGGAGCGGACCGAGAAACUGCUGGAGACCAUUGACCAGCUGUACUUGGAGUAUGCCAAGCGGGCUGCACCCUUCAACAACUGGAUGGAGGGGGCCAUGGAGGACCUGCAGGACACCUUCAUUGUGCACACCAUUGAGGAGAUCCAGGGACUGACCACAGCCCAUGAGCAGUUCAAGGCCACCCUCCCUGAUGCUGACAAGGAGCGCCUGGCCAUCCUGGGCAUCCACAAUGAGGUGUCCAAGAUUGUCCAGACCUACCACGUCAAUAUGGCGGGCACCAACCCCUACACAACCAUCACGCCUCAGGAGAUCAAUGGCAAAUGGGACCACGUGCGGCAGCUGGUGCCUCGGAGGGACCAAGCUCUGACGGAGGAGCAUGCCCGACAGCAGCACAAUGAGAGGCUACGCAAGCAGUUUGGAGCCCAGGCCAAUGUCAUCGGGCCCUGGAUCCAGACCAAGAUGGAGGAGAUCGGGAGGAUCUCCAUUGAGAUGCAUGGGACCCUGGAGGACCAGCUCAGCCACCUGCGGCAGUAUGAGAAGAGCAUCGUCAACUACAAGCCAAAGAUUGACCAGCUGGAGGGCGACCACCAGCUCAUCCAGGAGGCGCUCAUCUUCGACAACAAGCACACCAACUACACCAUGGAGCACAUCCGUGUGGGCUGGGAGCAGCUGCUCACCACCAUCGCCAGGACCAUCAAUGAGGUAGAGAACCAGAUCCUGACCCGGGAUGCCAAGGGCAUCAGCCAGGAGCAGAUGAAUGAGUUCCGGGCCUCCUUCAACCACUUUGACCGGGAUCACUCCGGCACACUGGGUCCCGAGGAGUUCAAAGCCUGCCUCAUCAGCUUGGGUUAUGAUAUUGGCAACGACCCCCAGGGAGAAGCAGAAUUUGCCCGCAUCAUGAGCAUUGUGGACCCCAACCGCCUGGGGGUAGUGACAUUCCAGGCCUUCAUUGACUUCAUGUCCCGCGAGACAGCCGACACAGAUACAGCAGACCAAGUCAUGGCUUCCUUCAAGAUCCUGGCCGGGGACAAGAACUACAUUACCAUGGACGAGCUGCGCCGCGAGCUGCCGCCCGACCAGGCUGAGUACUGCAUCGCGCGGAUGGCCCCCUACACCGGCCCCGACUCCGUGCCAGGUGCUCUGGACUACAUGUCCUUCUCCACGGCGCUGUACGGCGAGAGUGACCUCUAAUCCACCCCACCCGGCCGCCCUCGUCUUGUGCGCCGUGCCCUGCCUUGCACCUCUGCCGUCGCCCAUCUCCUGCCUGGGUUCGGUUUCAGCUCCCAGCCUCCACCCGGGUGAGCUGGGGCCCACGUGGCAUCGAUCCUCCCUGCCCGCGAAGUGACAGUUUACAAAAUUAUUUUCUGCAAAAAAGAAAAAAAAGUUACGUUAAAAACCAAAAAACUACAUAUUUUAUUAUAGAAAAAGUAUUUUUUUCUCCACCAGACAAAUGGAAAAAAAGAGGAAAGAUUAACUAUUUGCACCGAAAUGUCUUGUUUUGUUGCGACAUAGGAAAAUAACCAAGCACAAAGUUAUAUUCCAUCCUUUUUACUGAUUUUUUUUUCUUCUAUCUGUUCCAUCUGCUGUAUUCAUUUCUCCAAUCUCAUGUCCACUUUGGUGUGGGAGUCGGGGUAGGGGGUACUCUUGUCAAAAGGCACAUUGGUGCAUGUGUGUUUGCUAGCUCACUUGUCCAUGAAAAUAUUUUAUGAUAUUAAAGAAAAUCUUUUGAAAUG
rnacentral:sRNA from 1 species